rnacentral:rRNA from 1 species
GACAGAGGGUGCAAACGUUGCUCGGAAUCACUGGGCGUAAAGGGCGUGUAGGCGGGAAGGAAAGUCAGAUGUGAAAUCCCUGGGCUCAACCCAGGAACUGCAUUUGAAACUCCCUUUCUUGAGUGUCGGAGAGGAAAGCGGAAUUCCUGGUGUAGAGGUGAAAUUCGUAGAUAUUCGCAAGAACACCAGUGGCGAAGGCGGCUCACUGGCCCGAUACUGACGCUGAGGCACGAAAGCGUGGGGAGCAAACAGG